GCGGUGGUGAUGUAAUGGGCUAGCAUAGUAUCCCGAAAGCACAGGGUGUGGGUUCGAGUCCCGCCUGACGCA
rnacentral:tRNA from 1 species